GGAUGAACGCUAGCUACAGGCUUAACACAUGCAAGUCGAACGGAGAUACGAUGUGAGCGAGAGGUGCUUGCACUGAUUAAUCUUUUCGUAUCUUAGUGGCGGACGGGUGAGUAACGCGUGGGUAACCUGCCUUAUACCGGGGGAUAACACUUAGAAAUAGGUGCUAAUACCGCAUAAGCGCACGGUGUCGCAUGACACAGUGUGAAAAACUACCGGUGGUAUAAAGAUGGACCCGCGUCUGAUUAGCCAGUUGGCAGGGUAACGGCCUACCAAAGCGACGAUCAGUAGCCGGCCUGAGAGGGUGAACGGCCACAUUGGGACUGAGACACGGCCCAAACUCCUACGGGAGGCAGCAGUGGGGGAAUAUUGCACAAUGGGGAAACCCGUACGAUGCAGCGACGGCCGCC
rnacentral:rRNA from 1 species